CAAGCAAAAUGGAAAUCAGACGCACUGUCUAACUGAUUGAUGGUGCAUGCACCUGAUUGACAAAGGAUCACCUCCGAUAAGGCGGACGGGUGAGUAACGCAUAGGUAACCUGCCCCCCAUUGAAGGAUAACAUUUGGAAACAGAUGCUAAUACCGCAUAACAACAAAAGCCGCAUGGCUUUUGUUUGAAAGAUGGCUUUAGCUAUCACUCUGGGAUGGACCUGCGGAGCAUUAGCUAGUUGGUAAGGUAACGGCUUACCAAGGCGAUGAUGCAUAGCCGAGUUGAGAGACUGAUCGGCCACAAUGGAACUGAGACACGGUCCAUACUCCUACGGGAGGCAGCAGUAGGGAAUCUUCCACAAUGGGCGCAAGCCUGAUGGAGCAACACCGCGUGAGUGAAGAAGGGUUUCGGCUCGUAAAGCUCUGUUGUUGGAGAAGAACGUGCGUGAGAGUAACUGUUCACGCAGUGACGGUAUCCAACCAGAAAGUCACGGCUAACUACGUGCCAGCAGCCGCGGUAAUACGUAGGUGGCAAGCGUUAUCCGGAUUUAUUGGGCGUAAAGCGAGCCGCAGGCGGCUGCUUACGUCUGAUGUGAAAGCCUUCGGCUUAACCGAAGAAGUGCAUCGGAAACCGGGCGGCUUGAGUGCAGAAUAGGACAGUGGAACUCCACGUGUAACGGUGGAAUGCGUACAUAUAUGGAAGAACACCAGUGGCGAAGGCGGCUGUCUGGUCUGCAAAUGACGCUGAGGC
rnacentral:rRNA from 1 species